ensembl:miRNA
CCUACCCACUGCCCUAUCAAGAUAGCUGACACUUUCGCACGACCACCCACAAAGUUUUAUUUGGUAAAGCGAAUGAUUAGAGGUCUUGGGGCCAAAACGCUCUCAAC